UGGUAGAAUCAUUUAAAAGAAAAUUCUGUCAUACAAUCCAUCCACGAUAUUUUCCCUAUUUUGAAAAUUAGUGAAACGGAAUGAGUCCAAGCUGAUGAGUUUGCUACUGGUAAUCAUUAUUUAUUUAAUCAUGUAUUACCACAGUUGUUUUGAGGUUGCAGCAUGUUUUGUCAUCAAUGCAUGUAAAAGUCCGUGCAGUCGUACCACUCCAUAUAUUUCUCUCUGUUUGUUGCUUCUCACAACUGUUUUAUUUCAUCAAUUGUAUUUCAAUUAAAAGCUCACUUUAGUUCUUGUAUAAAAGUUCUUUGCCUUGCCAUAUUGUUUGAACUAAUUAUGAAAUUUUAUCAUAACCAUCAAUUGAUUAUGUUUAGGCAUAAUAUAAGAAUGUGAUACAAAAGAUGCAGAUUUUUUUUCAUGUGUAAUGACAUCUGCUUUCCUUAGGUGGGGCAAGCCUGCAAGGAUCCUGACUGAUCACGGACGUGAGUUUUGUUCCUCGAUCAACGACGAACUCUGCAAGUUCUACGGGAUCCGGAGGAGUAUCACGUCUGCCUACCAUCCGCAGACUAAUGGACUGGCAGAGAAUUAACCAGACUCUGGAGACCAGGCUUUCCAAGCUCUGCAACGCGACCAAGACCGACUGGCCAAACUUCCUGGAUGAAGUCGCCUAUAGCAUCCGUACCCAAAAGCAGCGGACCACCGGGUUCACACCUUUCCGGUUGAUGUUUGCUCGUGAGCACCGGCCACUUCACCAGGUAACCACCAGUGUUUGAAUUAAUAUAAGAAAUCAACUCCUAUUGGUUCCAUUAAAAUAUGAAGCUUUCAAUCACAAACCAAAAAAAUAUGAAGAGUUGUUCUUGUGCCUAAUGACCGUAAUUUCAGUUCAAUUGAAAAAAAUAUUUUUAGGAAGAAAUUACAUUUGCUCCUGAGGCUUCUGCACAACCAGAGGGAAGGAGUACCACACCAGAAGUAAGUAGAAAGUAGAUUCAUAUGUAAUGUGCAAAUUCUGGAAGAAAAGUGUAUAUCUCACAAGAAUUGAAGAAUAUGUCUAGUGCCUCUCAAGUAAUCUUCUUUUGCAGUUUCUUUUUGUUACAGUUCUUUGAAGAACUUGUUGAACUGCCCUCUUCCGAGGACAUUACGGAGUGUGUCAAAGAGCAGGACCAGAGGCGUGAAGAACUGCACUCCAAGCGGGAACAGAGAGUUGAAGCAGCCCAAGAAAAGCAGAAGGCUGAGUACAGGAACAGGAAAGCAAGAGGAGUGAAGACCUUCAGCUUCUCUGUAGGGAUGAAGGUUCUUAAAAGAAACCUUCGCAAUGAGACUCGGAAGGGUGGGAUAAUGGAGCAGAAGUGGACUGGUCCAUACAAAGUCCUUGACAUCGACUCCUCAAACCGUGUGGCACUUGAGGCUGUGAGCAAUGGGAAGAAGCUCAAGAGCCGUACUCCAUACAACAACCUGAGGCCAUUCCUCCAGAGCCAGUUGCACUGUGACAGACACUUAUUGGACCACAGAGAUAGACUGCAGCCCUCCAGCAUUCAGGGACCUGUGCAGCCAUCACCUGACACCUCACAGUGCCUUUGCUGGACCUUCCUCAUCUACAAAUGUUGUUGAUGAUGACCUGUUUCCCUCGAUGAGUACGACAAUAAUCGAGGUGUCAGAGGAGUGAACCAACAGGAGAAGUGCCCCCAUCAUCGGCCUCAUCCAGUGUCCGACGACCCAGUGCCCAUAAACCCCAAAGGUCAACUUCCCUUCCUGCCAGUAGAAGUGGUAGUAGACCAGCAACUCCCACAGCAGCAGGUCACGAGUUACAACUGGUUCCUGAGUUCCUUACUACCCAAAAGGAAAUUCGAGGUCUGCUGAAGGACCUGGUGGAGGAGCAACGGACGAAUGGAAACCAUCUACGGGAUAUCGCCCGAGGUUUUACUGAAAUGGGGAAUUUAGGCAACCAUGUACUGGAUAUUGGCCAAAGUCUUAGGGAAAUAGGCGAGACACUGAUGGCCAUAACGGGGACUAUCAGUUCAAGAAAGUAGUUUUUUUUUUUUAAGUUAUUAUUUUCAUAAAUUAAGAUUUGAAUAUUUCUAUAUAAGAAUAUUUUAUAUAAUCAUUUUCAUUAUUAACUUUAAGAUCUUUGAUGGUGUUUGUCAAGCCAAUGCAUACCACAGAGGGGGGAUAUCCAGCACGACAGGAAUCAUUCCAUAUUUUUUUUCUUAGUGCAUUAUGAUAUGCCACUAUAAAAAAAAUUCAGAGAGAACCAUCAUACACUGAACUUUAAUUUUUGCCAAGUUGUGUUAUAUUUUAUAUUUUUUAAAUUCAGCACGUCAUGUUUUCUAUCUUGCCUGUAUAAUGUUCAUGAACAGGACGUUACCUGCCUUGCGUAUAGUCCUAACAUCAUUUACAGAUGCCGGACCACAGGUAUCAUCAUCUUCAGUGUAGGACGGUUCUUUCCUGGCCAUUUUCUAGUGGAACAUCAUGAUGCAUAAAGAGAUAAAAAAUAUCAAAAACAUAUUUUGCAUCUUCAAUGACAUAGUUUCCAACCGUGUAAUUCAGGUAACAUUUUUUUUUACUAAAAACAGCUUUACAUAUGCAAUUCACAAACAGUGUGCCUAAAAAGGUAUGAUUAACCCAGUAGCAGCGACGGACCAAAUGUGUGCCAUGAUUUAAACCCCCCAAAAUAGAUGAUACAUAAACUGAUCACAAAUGCUUCGAUAUAUAUUAUGAAAUGGUUUGUGUGAGUGAUGAUUUUUUUCUCAAUUUUUUUUCUUGCUUAGAAGUACCAUUAAGAAACAUGAUCCCCGCUGCUACCGGGUUAAACUAAACCUCAUGGGACUGACAUUCCUUUCCUGCUGGAUAUCCCCAUUCUGCAGUAUGUAUUUUGAUCUCAUUUAUAGUUCCUUAGUUUCUAAUUAUUUUUUUAUAAUAUUACAAUAAGUUUAUUAUUAUUGGUUUAAGUGUAAUAGUUUUUGUCAUUCAAUAUUUUUUAUACAUGUGAGGAUUGCUCAAUAUAUUUUUGCCGUAACUUAAAAUAUUCUUAUUCCUUGAAUAUUGGUUUGCGUGUCAGGGAUCAAUUGUGAGGCCUGACGGUUAAGGGGCUGGCAGAACAACUUUUAAGGGGGUGACCAGAAGACAAACUGCA